rnacentral:rRNA from 1 species
CAGGCCUAACACAUGCAAGUCGAACGAUACCUUUCGGGGUAUAGUGGCGCGCGGGUGCGUAACGCGUGGGAAUCUGCCCUUGGGUUCGGGAUAACCGUUGGAAACGACGGCUAAUACCGGAUGAUGACGUAAGUCCAAAGAUUUAUCGCCCAGGGAUGAGCCCGCGUAGGAUUAGCUAGUUGGUGUGGUAAAGGCGCACCAAGGCGACGAUCCUUAGCUGGUCUGAGAGGAUGAUCAGCCACACUGGGACUGAGACACGGCCCAGACUCCUACGGGAGGCAGCAGUGGGGAAUAUUGGACAAUGGGCGAAAGCCUGAUCCAGCAAUGCCGCGUGAGUGAUGAAGGCCUUAGGGUUGUAAAGCUAUUUUACCCGGGAUGAUAAUGACAGGAUCCGGGAGAAUAAGCUCCGGCGAACUCCGUGCCAGCAGCCGCG